CCUACGGGUGGCAGCAGUGAGGAAUAUUGGUCAAUGGGCGCGAGCCUGAACCAGCCAAGUAGCGUGAAGGAUGACUGCCCUACGGGUUGUAAACUUCUUUUAUAAAGGAAUAAAGUGCGGCACGUGUGCCUUUUUGUAUGUACUUUAUGAAUAAGAAUCGGCUAACUCCUUGCCAGCAGCCGCGGUAAUACGGAGGAUCCGAGCGUUCUCCGGAUUUAUUGGGUUUAAAGGGAGCGUAGAUGGGUUGUUAAGUCAGUUGUGAAAGUUUGCGGCUCAACCGUAAAAUUGCAAUUGAUACUGGCAGUCUGGAGUACAGUGGAGGUAGGCGGAAUUCGUGGUGUAGCGGUGAAAUGCUUAGAUAUCACGAAGAACUCCGAUUGCGAAGGCAGCCUACUAAACUGCAACUGACAUUGAUGCUCGAAAGUGUGGGUAUCAAACAGGAGUAGAUACCCGAGUAGUC
rnacentral:rRNA from 1 species